AUUUCAAUGUGCACAAAUCUGUGCACUGGGUCACUACUAAUAAAUAUUAGCUGACUAUCUCCAGGCAAGUGGCCUUACAACCCCAAGCCUCAGUUUCCCCUUUUGUAAAGUGAAGAUAAUAAACCUUGCCUCAAGAUGUUAAGAAAUAAAGAGAGACUAUAUGCAAGUGCUCUGUGGAGUAGUUGACAAACAGAGGUUUAAUAAACACUAGUUACUCCUUCUCUUUCUCGCGAGACAGCUACAAUGCACUGAGGCACGGAAUGAGAUACAACCUGUGCGCUGCACACAGGAGUCCCUCAGGCAGCACUGAGUCAUCCCCGUCUCCGCCUCUCCUCCCACCCCUCCCCCCUGUGGCAGGCGGAAUUCUUGGAUGUCCCCCAAGACACCCAACCCCUGGCAGGCUCACCGUCUAAACCCAAGACAGUGAAUACGAUGAUGGUCACUCCUGUGAUCAGUGUCUAACAGACAGCUGGCCUGAGGGAAGGGAAGUCAUCCUGGGUGGACGUGACCUACUUGGGUGAGUUCCUAAAAGGGACAGGGCUCUCCCUGACAAAAGGCAUGUGGAGCGUGUGUAUCACUUAUGAGUGAUUAGCUCGGAACAUACCCUUUAGUAUGCACUCAGAGAAACUGAAUUCCUUUUUCUCUCCUUAAAGAGAGGACGGUGAUAAGCUGUCUCGGUAGAGGGAGCUGGAGGGACAUUGCAGGCGGGGACAGGGAGUCUGGGAGUACAUUUGGCGAAGCCCAGAACAUGGUUGCUCUUUGGUCUCGUAGCCUCAGCCUGGAAAUAACCUUCCUGCAGGCCUCUGACCCCACAACCAGAGUCCCCGCAUGGCCCGCAGGCUCCAGAGGCCUGCUGCACCGGCACAGGCACUGGGCCACAAACCGAGGCCCUGGCCACCUGCUCUCCUGCCUGUACUCAGAAGGUGGCACACUGCUUGCCCAGCAGCUCCAGACCAACUCCAGCCUGGCCAAACCAACAAACUGUCUCUGCUGUCGGGUGGACUGAGCCACACCUUCUCCAACGAGACUCAGACUGCUACAGGAUGAGAAGGAUUUUACACAAAGGAGACUCUAUUGCUGGCUUUGAAGUUGGAAGGGCUGCUCCACAAGGAAUGUGGGUAGCCUCUAGGAGCUGGGAAUGACCCGCAACUAAUAGCCAACCUGAACUGAAUUCUGCCACAGCCAUAGGAGCUUAGAAGAGGACCCCAAGCUCCAGAUGAGAAGGUACAAAAUGAUUUUUCAUUAACCUUAUGCCAACCCUAUCUCUAAUGACCCUUUCAUACGGCAGGGAUAUGCCCUAUUUUUGCCAGCCCUUGAAAUAGCUUUCCUUUCUUUUCUACAUACUUUCUAUAUCAGGCCUUCCAGUUCAAAGUCUGUAACAAUACUCUUACUUUCCAAAUUAGAAAGGAAAAAAAUUAUACAGGCAGAAUAAGAAAAAUACAUUUUUCAUCUAGCAGAUUUCC